CAAGUAGGGGACCGAAAUGAUGCAGGGCAGUGGGCGCUAGAGUGGAGCGGUGACUGUGGGUGUUGACUGAGUCUCUGCUCUAGUGGGGCUGAUGUGGAUGGGAUGGGAGAGGGAGGCAGGGAUGAGAGCAAGAUUUCACGCAUCAAUUGUAUUUUGUGUAGCGAUGGCUCUUGCUUGGCUUAUUUGCUGCACUUACAGAGAAAUCAUCGGGGAGCAGCAGCAGGAGGAGAAACUAGCAGAUGCAGACCUGGGCAUCCUGGACAUCCUUCUAAGCACAGAUUAACAGUCUUCAGCUUUCUGCCUUCCACAUAACUGGCUGACCAAGAGAAAAGAAGUGGAGGGUCAGCGUCGGCUCACCUCAUGUUACGGAAAGCGAGUGAGAGCGACGAGAUUGCAAGCAUUUUGGAUGCCAGGCAAGAGCCGUCCAGCUGGGAGUGGAGCAGCCGCCACUGUCAAUGAGAUGCAUUUCCAGAGGAAUUUCCCAGGAGCCGUAGCCAGAGGAGAAGUUGGCAGAUGUGGACAUGAGGAAACUGAACAUCCUUCUGAGCAGACACGAACAGUCCUCGGCUUUCUGCUUCCCACAUAACUGGGUUACCAAGGAAAAAGAAGUCACACGUCGGAGUCUACUGCCCUCAUGCGAUGGAAAGUG